rnacentral:rRNA from 1 species
UACGUAGGGUGCGAGCGUUGUCCGGAUUUAUUGGGCGUAAAGCGCGCGCAGGCGGCCGUUUAAGUUUGGUGUUUAAGCCCGGGGCUCAACCCCGGAUCGCACUGAAAACUGGAUGGCUUGAGUGUAGGAGAGGAAAGUGGAAUUCCACGUGUAGCGGUGAAAUGCGUAGGGAUGUGGAGGAACACCAGUGGCGAAGGCGACUUUCUGGCCUAUAACUGACGCUGAGGCGCGAAAGCGUGGGGAGCAAACAGG